rnacentral:sRNA from 1 species
UGAAAGACAUGGGAUCUGGAGGUAUGUAUUGGUGAAAGUCAUGGGAUGUGGAGGUAUGUAUUGGUGAAAGUUAUGUGAUGUGGAGGUAUGUAUUAGUUGGUGAAAUGUAUGUGAUGUGGAUGUAUGUAUUUGUGAAAGUCAUGGGAUGUGGAGGUAUGUAUGUGAAAGUCAUGGGAUGUGGAGGUAUGUAUUGGUGAAAGUUAUGUGAUGUGGAGGUAUGUAUUGGUGAAAGACAUGGGAUGUGGAUGUAUGUAUUGUUGAAAGUCAUG